rnacentral:rRNA from 1 species
CAUUCGCCCUUCGGGGCGCACCAGGCGCGAAAACUUUACAAUGCGGGAAACCGUGAUAAGGGGACACCGAGUGCCAGCAUCAUAUGCUGGCUGUCCGGGUGUGUAAAAUACACCCGUUAGCAAGGGCCGGGCAAGACCGGUGCCAGCCGCCGCGGUAACACCGGCGGCCCGAGUGGUGAUCGUGAUUAUUGGGUCUAAAGGGUCCGUAGCCGGUUUGGUCAGUCCUCCGGGAAAUCUGACGGCUCAACCGUUAGGCUUUCGGGGGAUACUGCCAGGCUUGGAACCGGGAGAGGUAAGAGGUACUACAGGGGUAGGAGUGAAAUCUUGUAAUCCCUGUGAGACCACCUGUGGCGAAGGCGUCUUACCAGAACGGGUUCGACGGUGAGGGACGAAAGCUGGGGGCACGAACCGGAUUAGAUACCCGGGUAGUCCCAGCCGUAAACGAUGCUCGCUAGGUGUCAGGCAUGGCGCGACCGUGUCUGGUGCCGCAGGGAAGCCGUGAAGCGAGCCACCUGGGAAGUACGGCCGCAAGGCUGAAACUUAAAGGAAUUGGCGGGGGAGCAC